rnacentral:rRNA from 1 species
CCAGCAGCUGUAAUUCCAGCUCCAAUAGCGUAUAUUAAAGUUGUUGCAGUUAAAAAGCUCGUAGUUGGAUUUCUGGUAUGGUGCGCCUGGCCCACGGUUGCAAAACCGCGAGUGUCGGUGUGCGCCUGCCAUCUUUCUAGUUAACUGGACGCACUUAACUGGGCGGUCAGCGAUCUAGAUCUUUUACUUUGAAAAAAUUAGAGUGUUUAAAGCAGGCUUGCGCUAUGAAUACAUUAGCAUGGAAUAAUAAUUUAGGACUUUAUUCCUAUUUAUUGGUUUCUGGAGUAGAGUAAUGAUUGAUAGGGAUAGUUGGGGGUGCUAGUAUUCAUCGGCCAGAGGUGAAAUUCUUG